rnacentral:rRNA from 1 species
UACAGAGGUCCCAAGCGUUGUUCGGAUUCACUGGGCGUAAAGGGUGCGUAGGUGGCGCUGUAAGUCGGGUGUGAAAUUUCGGAGCUUAACUCCGAAACUGCAUUCGAUACUGCGGUGCUUGAGGACUGGAGAGGAGACUGGAAUUCAUGGUGUAGCAGUGAAAUGCGUAGAGAUCAUGAGGAAGACCAGUGGCGAAGGCGGGUCUCUGGGCCGAUACUGACGCUGAGGAGCGAAAGCGUGGGGAGCGAACAGG